CCUACGGGAGGCAGCAGUAGGGAAUCUUCCACAAUGGGCGAAAGCCUGAUGGAGCAACGCCGCGUGGGUGAAGAAGGUCUUCGGAUCGUAAAACCCUGUUGUUAGAGAAGAAAGUUCGUGAGAGUAACUGUUCACGUUUCGACGUUAUCUAACCAGAAAGCCACGACUAACUACGUGCCAGCAGCCGCGGUAAUACGUAGGUGGCAAGCGUUAUCCGGAUUUAUUGGGCGUAAAGGGAACGCAGGCGGUCUUUUAAGUCUGAUGUGAAAGCCUUCGGCUUAACCGGAGGAGUGCAUUGGAAACUGGGAGACUUGAGUGCAGAAGAGGAGAGUGGAACUCGAUGUGUAGCGUUGAAAUGCGUAGAUAUAUGGAAGAACACCAGUGGCGAAGGCGGCUCUCUGGGCUGUAACUGACGCUGAGGUUCGAAAGCGUGGGUAGCAAACAGGAUUAGAUACCCGAGUAGUC
rnacentral:rRNA from 1 species